AAAGAACAAUCAAUCUUUACAAUUAUUGAUUAAAUAGCAUUAAUUGUGUGAAAAAUAGAAAAAAGUGCCAUUUCUGCUAAGUACUAUGAGUUGACAGAGGUUUCACUGAUAUGGUCACAGAAUACCUAACACCUAUCAGUGUAAAGACUGUUCCGAAACAGGUUGCCAAAAAUCACAAGCAUACGGCCGCUCCCGUCAGUGUUUUCGAAAGUGUUCUAGGUUCGAUGCACUCACGAUGGAAUCUACUCCAAGUUGGAGACGCCUAUCGGAAGCGAUUCAUGCGCUCAGCGGUUACUCUAACAUAUCGGUGCAACUGCAGGUGAAUCUGAGCCGAAGCUCUGUUAUUCCCAUCCCAUCGAAGUUAUUCCCAUCCCGCUCGGUUCCACGGGAGAAUAUUCGAGCAACUUCAACCUGCUCAUUAGAAAGCACUAUGCUGUUACAUUAAAAACCUCAAACUAUUUUCUUACUAUGAAAUAAUUUUACCGAAUAUUUGAAUCUCCUUGAUUCUUUUGUACAUUUUAUUCGAGAAUAAUAAAUUGUUGUUUGGGUGAACAGAACAGAAA